UUACGGCCAUAUCACUUUAAAAAGCCGAUUCUCGUAUGAUCACUGAAGUUAAGCAACGUCGAGCCUGGUCAGUACUGAGAUGAGUGACUGCAUGGGAAACGAAGUUACUGUAAU